rnacentral:rRNA from 1 species
GAUGAACGCUGGCGGCGUGCUUAACACAUGCAAGUCGAACGAAGCAUUUAGAACAGAUUAUUUCGGUAUGAAGUUCUUUAUGACUGAGUGGCGGACGGGUGAGUAACGCGUGGGUAGCCUGCCUUGUACUGGGGGAUAGCAGCUGGAAACGGCUGGUAAUACCGCAUCAGCGCACAAUGUUGCAUGACAUGGUGGGAAAAACUCCGGUGGUAUAAGAUGGACCCGCGUCUGAUUAGUUAGUUGGUGAGAUAACAGCCCACCAAGGCGACGAUCAGUAGCCGACCUGAGAGGGUGACCGGCCACAUUGGGACUGAGACACGGCCCAGACUCCUACGGGAGGCAGCAGUGGGGAAUAUUGCACAAUGGAGGAAACUCUGAUGCAGCGACGCCGCGUGAGUGAAGAAGUAAUUCGUUAUGUAAAGCUCUAUCAGCAGGGAAGAUAGUGACGGUACCUGACUAAGAAGCUCCGGCUAAAUACGUGCCAGUCGCCGCGGUAA